GCAACAAUAAGAUCUGAAGCGAGGAUGUGCAUGCAGUCUGGCUGCUCUGAUAUUUUAAACAAAAUGAAACAGGAACAAGGAACCACUGGUUCAGACAGAGAUAAAGAAAACAUGGACACGGUGGAAUCUUUCCUUUGAGUGGGAGGGUCCAGUUGUGUGCGGCCGCUACCGUUAUGGAUCUGUGGUCGUAGGUCUGAACAACAACAGCACCAGCAGCCAGUCCCACCUGGCUGGUGCUGGGCCGUCCACACGCUCCACCACGCUCGUUUCCAGCCGCGUUUACCGGAGCACAGGUCCAACCGCGAUCAGCAUGCGUGCCACCCUGCCAGGAUACGUAAUCAGUAACUCGGAUCCAUCCAUACCCGAGGAGCCUGAGGACAGUGGUCCCAAGCGGGUGGAUGAUAUCUCACUGAGGGAAAAUCUGCCUGUUCUAAAUAUGAGCGGAACGGCUGAUGAUGAGGAGGAAACGCUGUAGCAGACAUCAGAGCGUUUACUCCUGUGUUAUUCAAACUCUGAAGAGGGAUGCAAAGACAAACCAAAAGUGUCACUCUGCAGACAAGAAGAGGAAAAAAUGUCCCGGACAUUCAUAAGAAGAAGAACUAACGUGAACCUUUUAUACAGUACUGUAAAUUGUGAAGAAAUGUUAACUGUUGUCAUUGCUAUGCUGUUUUUGCUGCCAACGAUCACCAAAAUGCUGACUUUUAAACUUCUACACACAGAGCCUUUAACAGCGCACACAGGUCACGGUGAAAAAUGAACACUGAGCCAGAGUCACAGCCCCACACAUCACAGUACAGCCGGCACUUUCAGCAAAAGCUGUUGAUGGCAGACUGUUUACUUACGAACAUCAUUUGUUGGAGCGUAAGCAGGCUGGCUGAUAAGUGCUACAAGUUGGCAACACUGCUGCUACUCCAGACCCUUUAUCUGAUAGUGGCUUAUUACCUUCAGACAUUUCCAAAUGACAGGAGGUGAAAAGCUUUUGAGCACCUAGUUUAAAAAAGGACUAAAAUAAUUAAGUAAAAAAUAAAACAAGUUUUUUCCUCAGGGAGGGCAACACCACAGUGCCCUCUAUUGCAUCACAGCCACUGGAGGUUAGCUUGGAAACACACUGUAGCAUGUUUAACAGCGGUCGUCUGACGUUAUGGAAAUUUCAGCAUCUUUUCCAGCCAUCACCUUGAUUGUACAGUAUAUCACAUGAGUGCCACAUCCAAGCUAGACUCGCACAGCAACGCAAAAAUAGACGUUACGGAUUGGAUGGUGAGGUGAAAACACAGCAUGAGCAGCAUGAUAGCUAACGAGGGAUAAAAAACCCAUAAUCUCAAAGCAAACUGAGCACUGGUGAAUCUUGGUUCUAGCAGACAUGUUCUCUCAAUUUGAUCAUACAGUAGAUGUUUUCUUUAAAUAGCUACAAGCUUCAUCGAACAGACAAUGGGCUCUAUUUUCCUGCAAGUGUAAAAACAGCAGCUGCAGAAAUGCGUGACGUCACAGACAUGCACACCUGCCAGCUAAAGCUAUAACUAUGCUUGGAAUCACUUGUCUGAGUUCAGCAUUAGUCUUUUCUCUACCUCAAACUGACGCAUGUUUAAAAAGAAUGUAUAUAACUAAAUACAGCGUUUUUGUCAUCUCUGGCAUAAUUUCAUUUUUGUUUGUUUUUUUGAGAAAACAAAUAUUUUACCCUACUUGGGUUUAGAGCUUGGGUUUGUUGCUAUAUCAACACAUUUUUAAAAGCUUGAAUACUAAUUUGCAUAUAUGAGUUUUUUGGGGGCAACAACACACUGAUGAUGUAGAAGUCUCAAAAACUGUAUGUUUCAAGUAUCAUACACGUCAGCUUGUAUGCAUCUUAUACAUGACCUUGAAUCGUUUUUUCUUUCAUCUACCUCAUGCUGAUGUGUCAAAAUACAGUAAGUUUGACUGAGCUUUUUACCAACUCACAUCUCCGCCACAGUUUUAGCUGUGAGGUGUCCAUGGACA